UACGUAGGGUGCAAGCGUUGUCCGGAAUUAUUGGGCGUAAAGAGCUCGUAGGCGGUUCGUCGCGUCGGCUGUGAAAUCCCGAGGCUCAACCUCGGGUCUGCAGUCGAUACGGGCGGACUGGAGUUCGGCAGGGGAGACUGGAAUUCCUGGUGUAGCGGUGAAAUGCGCAGAUAUCAGGAGGAACACCGGUGGCGAAGGCGGCGAUCUGGGUCGAUACUGACGCUGAGGUGCGAAAGCGUGGGGAGCAAA
rnacentral:rRNA from 1 species